rnacentral:rRNA from 1 species
GACGGAGGGAGCUAGCGUUGUUCGGAAUUACUGGGCGUAAAGCGCGCGUAGGCGGCUUUGUAAGUUAGAGGUGAAAGCCCGGGGCUCAACCCCGGAACUGCCUUUAAGACUGCAUCGCUUGAAUCCAGGAGAGGUGAGUGGAAUUCCGAGUGUAGAGGUGAAAUUCGUAGAUAUUCGGAAGAGCACCAGUGGCGAAGGCGGCUCACUGGACUGGUAUUGACGCUGAGGUGCGAAAGCGUGGGGAGCAAACAGG